rnacentral:tRNA from 1 species
GGGGACGUAGCUCAGUUGGAAGAGCGCCGGCUUUGCAAGCCGGAGGUCGCCGGUUCGAUCCCGGUCGUCUCCACCA